CACGUAGGGGACGAGCGUUGUCCGGAUUCAUUGGGCGUAAAGCGCGCGUAGGCGGCUCGGAAAGUCGGUCGUGAAAUGCCGGGGCUCAACCCCGGGACUGCGUCCGAUACUCCCGAGCUGGAGGCAGGUAGGGGAGAUCGGAAUUCCUGGUGUAGCGGUGAAAUGCGCAGAUAUCAGGAGGAACACCGGUGGCGAAGGCGGCCUGCUGGGACAGUGCUGACGCUGAAGCGCGACAGCGUGGGGAGCAAACAGG
rnacentral:rRNA from 1 species